AACGCACCUUGCGCUCUCUGGUAUUCCGGAGAGCAUGCCUGUUUGAGUGUCAUGAACUCUUCAACCCACCGGUUCCUUGUUGGACCGAGUUGGUGUUUGGUUUUUGAGUGUUUUGCUUUGUUUUCGGACAUAGCUCGCUCGUAAUACAUUAGCAUCUCGAUUUCGAAAUUUCGGAUUGACUCAGCGUAAUAGACUAUUCGCUGAGGACACCUUUACCGGUGGCCGUAAUUAUGAUAACAGUAGACGCUUCCAAUCCUACUAGUCAAUUUUAUGAUUAGACCUCAGAUCAGGCAGGAUUACCCGCUGAACUUAA
rnacentral:misc_RNA from 1 species